rnacentral:rRNA from 1 species
UACGUAGGGUGCAAGCGUUAAUCGGAAUACUGGGCGUAAAGCGUGCGCAGGCGGUGAUGUAAGACAGGUGUGAAAUCCCCGGGCUUAACCUGGGAACUGCAUUUGUGACUGCAUUGCUGGAGUGCGGCAGAGGGGGAUGGAAUUCCGCGUGUAGCAGUGAAAUGCGUAGAUAUGCGGAGGAACACCGAUGGCGAAGGCAAUCCCCUGGGCCUGCACUGACGCUCAUGCACGAAAGCGUGG